rnacentral:SRP_RNA from 1 species
AUGCGGGUCCUGUGCAACGAAAUACCGUGAACCAUGUCAGGCGGGGAACCGAGCAGCAUUAAGCGGUUAUCUUUGUGUGCCGCAGUGUUUCCUGUAUGUC